rnacentral:rRNA from 1 species
CCUACGGGUGGCAGCAGUGAGGAAUAUUGGUCAAUGGACGAGAGUCUGAACCAGCCAAGUAGCGUGAAGGAUGACUGCCCUAUGGGUUGUAAACUUCUUUUAUAUGGGAAUAAAAUGUUCCACGUGUGGGAUUUUGUAUGUACCAUAUGAAUAAGGAUCGGCUAACUCCGUGCCAGCAGCCGCGGUAAUACGGAGGAUCCGAGCGUUAUCCGGAUUUAUUGGGUUUAACGGGAGCGUAGGUGGAUUGUUAAGUCAGUUGUGAAAGUUUGCGGCUCAACCGGAAAAUGGCAGUUGAAACUGGCAGUCUUGAGUACAGUAGAGGUGGGCGGAAUUCGUGGUGUAGCGGUGAAAUGCUUAGAUAUAACGAAGAACUCCGAUUGCGAAGGCAGCUCACUGGACUGCAACUGACACUGAGGCUCGAAAGUGUGGGUAGCAAACAGGAUUAGAUACCCUUGUAGUC